AAGCUAUCCAAAAGAACCAGUUCAUGCAAAAGAAUUGGAUUUGAGGCUAUGGAUUACAGGUAAAAAUGUUGUAAAUAAUGUUCAGUUUCUUGCACAGAUGGAUCAUUUCGCUUCAUAAGACCUCAGUAUAUCAUUAGGAGCCAGGAGUAUUAUUUUGGUCUUGUCUCUAUGCGUUUUUAAUUCUCAAAGUAACAGUAGCCAUUUACUUGCAGUCACCUACAACUUGAAUGGCCUGAGGAUGAGUAAAUUAACAGCAAAUUUUCUUUUUUGGGUGAACUAUCCCUUUAAAAGCAUUACUGACCAAUUCUACUUUAGCAACUGUUGCCAUCCACUAUAUUUUAAGGAAAUAGCUUUUGCUCUUUUGUAGGUCUAUGGAUAUCCUGUGUGUUUAAACAGAAUAUGUUUAGGCCUUUUGACCCUCGAAUGCAUGAAUACAUAUUCAUAUACAUAUACAUACACACGGAUAUUUGAACAAUUACACAGUAAUAAAAUAAAGCAUCUGGACCUUUUGAUACACUAAUCUUAAAAUGUUUUCAUUUACAUCAUCUUCAAAAUCAGUAUUUUGUAUCAUGACAGCUUUGUCAUCAGAUCCACCAUUAAAUGAUGCGAUUUGAUUAUGAACUUGCUCUGCAGUAAAUCGCUGAGCCUUGUCAAGAUUUGCUGAUCACACUCAAUUUCUUACAGAUGUCGGCACCUUGAGAAAUAAAGGCCUUCAAAUCCCUGUGCUGAAGGUGAUGUCUGACAUCGUGUCUGAGGGGGAAGACAUUAUUGCCACAUGCAGUGCACCAGAGGAGACAGGCAGUCUGAUGUUCUACUUCUACGAGGAUGAUCAGGAGGUCAAGAGAGUCGUUAGUACCAGCAACUCUGUGACAACCACUCUGACCAUGCAGAAGCUCACAGACAUCUACCUGCAUUGUGACUAUAUGGUUAUGAAGCAAUGCAGCGCAGGACACUCCAACAAAAGCAACAUGGUGAAAGUUAUUGUACAAGAUCUUGAUGCGAUCACCCCACAAAUAAGCAUCUCCCCCAAAGUGAAUGUUGUUGAGGGUGACAGGGUGCAGAUCACAUGUAAGGUGCAACUUAACUCAGAUCUUGAGUUGUACCUCACCAAAGGCAACACCCUUCUUCGUGAAUCUCAUACAACCUUCACAUACAGCCUCGUAGUAAGAGCUGAGGAUUCAGGGGUCUAUGUGUAUAAAGCAGAGAAAGGCAGCGUGCAAAAGAAGGCAGUCUAUCUGCUAAAUGUUGCAGAACUGUUCUCAAAGCCAAUUUUGAAAAUGAGCCCAGACCAGCUUUUUGAAGGAGAACGCUUCACUCUGACCUGCAGCAGUACUGUAAUCUCCUCAGUGAAGAUCGGAAAAGCAGACAUAAAGUAUGUUUUGCUGAAAGAUGGCCGACGCAUUGCAGCAGUUGCCAAAUACGAUGACACUGCAAGCCUGGCCACCAAUGGGAACUACUACUGUAUGGCCAUGGCUAAAGAAGUUAACAAGACCAGCUUACCAUUUAUUUUAAAGGCUAAAGUGCCUGUUUCUGCCCCAGUCCUUCGUGCUGUUAAUAAGGUGAUUGUUGGUAAACCAUUCAGAGUUUCAUGUGAGUCUGAAAAUGGAACGUUUCCAAUAACCUACACCUUACUGAAGACCAGCGUUCCAGUGGAUUACAGGACAGUGGUUGAGGCAGCUGACAGGGCGAUCUUUAAUAUAACCUCCAUCAGUUUCCCUGAAGAGAUCUACAGCUUCAUAUGUCAGGCGUCUAACCAUGUGCCAUCAUUCAGUAACACCAGUGAGCCCCUUAGAGCACCAGUCAUAGGAACUCCCUUUGUGAUGGGCAGGAAUGUCUGGAGUGAAAAUGUAUCUGGCUCAGAUUCUGAUGAUCAUACUGAUGAAGACUCUGAGCUGGUUCACCCACAGGAAGUCAAUCCUAGAGGAGAUGUUCCCGUGAAGAAACCCACAGAGACCGAAUACAGUGUCCAGCACACAGAGGUCCAGGUAUCCACACCAGGAGUUUCGGAACAGGCUGAGGGCGUAAGUGACGCACAAUGUUGACACACAGACACAAAAGUCCACAUUUAGGUAUGUACAAAUAGUUUUGCAACAGGGAGGCCCUCUUGUGGAAGAAAUAGGUGCCACAGAAGAAAUCUCAAUACGAUGUAUCUGAUUUGGUCAGUUUUAUGAGGCCUGUCAGGAAAAUUUCCAAUCACACAAAAUCCAAAGAGGAAAAUUAAGAAAAUAGCACAUUUUACAUGUAUUCCAAAUAUUUUCAAUUCUCAUUGCCAU
ensembl:lncRNA